rnacentral:rRNA from 1 species
AGUCAACAUGCCCAGGGGACGUGGAUAACCUCGGGAAACUGAGGAUAAACCGCGAUAGGUCAUCACUUCUGGAAUGGGUAAUGACUUAAACCUAUAUGGCCCCUGGAUUGGACUGCGGCCGAUCAGGCUGUUGGUGAGGUAAUGGCCCACCAAACCUGUAACCGGUACGGGCUCUGAGAGGAGGAGCCCGGAGAUGGGCACUGAGACAAGGGCCCAGGCCCUAUGGGGCGCAGCAGGCGCGAAACCUCUGCAAUAGGCGAAAGCUUGACAGGGUUACUCUGAGUGAUUUCCGUUAAGGAGACCUUUUGGCACCUCUAAAAAUGGUGCAGAAUAAGGGGUGGGCAAGUCUGGUGUCAGCCGCCGCGGUAAUACCAGCACCCCGAGUGGUCGGGACGUUUAUUGGGCCUAAAGCAUCCGUAGCCGGUUCUACAAGUCUUCCGUUAAAUCCACCUGCUUAACAGAUGGGCUGCGGAAGAUACUAUAGAGCUAGGAGGCGGGAGAGGCAAGCGGUACUCGAUGGGUAGGGGUAAAAUCCGUUGAUCCAUUGAAGACCACCAGUGGCGAAGGCGGCUUGCCAGAACGCGCUCGACGGUGAGGGAUGAAAGCUGGGGGAGCAAACCGGAUUAGAUACCCGGGUAGUCCCAGCUGUAAACGAUGCAGACUCGGUGAUGAGUUGGC